UCCCUGGUGGUUCAGAGGCUAAGACUCUGCACUGCCAAUGCAGGAGCCUGGGUUCGAUCCCUGGUCAGGGAA
rnacentral:tRNA from 1 species